rnacentral:rRNA from 1 species
GAGAGUUAAAUAGUACGUGAAAUUGUUGAAAGGGAAACGAUUGAAGUCAGUCAUGCCGGUGAGAAUCAACUUUGAGGAAGGGGGAUUUUUUUGAACCUAACCUUGAAGUGCACUUCUUCGCUUGGCAGGUUAGCGUCGAUUUUGAACGUCAUAAAAUGAUUGGGGGAAGGUAGCUCUUUCGGGAGUGUUAUAGCCCUUAAUUAAUGUGAUAUUUGGGAUCGAGGAUUGCAACGGAUACCUUUUUUAGGCUAGCCGCCUGGCCUCUGAUUCGAUGUCGGGUUAUAGACAGCAUGCUGACUAUGAUCUGAUUAUUGGUCAAAAGGUUAGAGCGAGCAUAAAUUCGUUAAGGACGCUGACGUAAUGGCUUUAAACGA